GGAAGUUAUUACUAGCUGGCGUCAAGUAGUUUUCCACUGAUAUUCUCAUCCAAACAAACAAUUAUUUCAGGCAGCUAGGAAAUUCGUUUUAAAUCUGUUUUACAUUUUCAUUUUUAACUUUAAUGACUUAUUUAAAUAACUCAUGUCUCAGACAAACUCUUGAGUCUUUUAGAGUGCGUGUUAUCCUAGCUUGUAAGCUAGCUAACGUUACACUAGCCAUUGUCUUGGGUUGGAAAGUGACUGCAGCUAAAUAGGUUGGUAUCUUUCUAGCUAGCUAACACUUUGCAUUGUGUUUUGUCCAUAAUAUUGUAUUUAGCUAUUGCUGUUGGCUACGAAAAGUUAUGCACUCGUAUGUUGCUCUGGAUAAGAGUAUCUGCUAAAUUACUCAAAUGUAAAAUGGCUAGCUUGCUUUGUUUACUACCACAUCAGCGUACACACGUUUGCAUUGCACCCCUUUACCAAAUGUGGUAUAACCUGUUUGUUUGUGAAACUCACCUUUUUAUACCGCCUCUGGUUCUACUGGCCCACUUCUAGCCCACCAUGUCUGAACCGAGUUCUGGCUGUGGCAUUCCAGUCCAGAGAAGCUCACAGUCUGGUCCAGAGACUGUGUCAGUGAAGCUGGAGGACUCAGUGAAGCUGGAAAACUGCAGUCAAACACUGGAACUCAAUGUGAUUGUCAAAAAGGAGGAGAAGGGAGAUGUUAAAGAAGAAAAGAGUGAAAUCAAAGAAGAUAAGGAAGAGGAGGAGAAGAGAGAGGUCCAAGUAGAAGAGGAGGGAAAUGCUGAUAUGUCUCCUCCAGGAGAGAGCUCCAGCUCAGGCUCACUCAGCGAGCCCAGUACCACAGUAUCAGGAAACCACCGACAACAUAGAGGGAGGAACUCAAGACAGAAACAUCACCACUGCAUGGACUGCUUCACUAGUUUCUAUGAGCCAGAGGAGUUGAGAAAACACACUUGUAAAGACCGCAGCCACGGUGCAACAUGUCCUCCCAAACGGAAAAAGACUUCCAGCUCCUUCUCACCAAUCCUCCCACCAGUCCUCCCACAAUUUUCUUUCAUCAUCGUGUCAGCUAACGGGGAUCCUAGUAAACAUAAAGAUAUAUGUGAUGAGAGCUUGAACCAGGCCAGAAAACCAACAUCAAUCAGUAACCAUGUGGAUUUUCUCCUUACUAACCGUUACACUUUGUCGCAGGAGGAGAAACUCCAGAUAAAAGGUCUCGGUCCCCACCAGCCAGCUGAUGUAGAAAUAACACUUCCCCAACACAGAACAAAGGGAAAGGACCCGACCCGUUCAUUCAACCCCUCGUGGUUCCAUAAGAAAUCGUGGCUGACGGCUAGCGUCUCUAAAAAAGCGCUUUACUGCUUCCCGUGCCUUUUAUUCGGCAAAGAGGGCACUUGGUCAACGGUGGGUUUCAAGGACCUGAAGCACCUCUCCGAAAGGAUUUCGAAACAUGAGAGUUGUUGUACUCAUCUGGAAAACGGCAUGAAACUGGGAUUUCUAGGGAAGACUAACGCCGCUGGUCAGCUGGUCAGCGUAAACCCAAGCUCCAUUGAGAUACACAACAGACAAACAGAGGAGAACAGGUACGUGCUGGGUAGAAUGGUCAAAUGCUUCGUGCUGUGUGGGAGACACAUGGCUGCCACGUGGCGGCGCGGCCGGGUCGCGUCGGACUCUCUAAACACAUCCAUGUUUAAGUGCAUCUUUGAGACGAUGUGCGAGGGAGACUCGAGACUUCAGAGGCAUUACGACGCUCACGGCUUCUUUAAGCACCCAAGAGGCUAUGUACAAAACAAACUGUUUGACUGUAUGCACGAGGUGUACAAAGAGGCGAUUACCAAGGAGGUGUGGGCGGCUAGCUUUGUAGCGGUGCAGGUGGACGGCAUGCCGUGGACAGGGGAGGUCUCCUCCAGGGUGACAUUACCCCUAGCUACAGAUCUAGGAUCAGCGUCUCCAAUCCCAACCUUGACCAUUAGUGUGGAAAAUGCCAUACUGGCCCAAGAUCAGCUUCUUGGGCUAACAAUCUACUCCUGUAUGCCACAGCAGGUCUCUGUCGUGCUACGGUACAUGCUUCCAGACAAUACUAUCACAGAGAGGUUUUGGGAGUUUGUGGACCUAAAGGAUAAAACGGCCGCCGGUCUCACCAACGCAGUCAAGGACUCGCUGGAACCACUGAAACUGGAGCACAAGCUGAUCGCUCAGACGUACGACGGGGUCACGGCGGCAGCAGCAGUGGACGGGGCCGACGUACGCGACCUGGAAACUCACCUGAAACGCACCUAUCCCAACGCUAACUUUGUGCACUGUUACGCUCACCCGCUACGUGUCACACUCCAGCAGAUCUGCUCGGCGACAGCGACCCAACUCAAAGUGUUUUUUACGGAUUUGUCUUUGUUCGAGACCUUCUUCAAAGAUCAGCCGAAGAGAGCUACAGCUGCAGGGUGGAACUGUGAGCGAGAAACGGUCAGUGUGGUUUGGGAAAAUCGCGUUGCUCUUCAGAAGUGUGUGGAGGAUAUUAGGACACAGCCGGUGUGGGACCAGGACUCUAUCAGAGAGGCUUAUGGCCUGUCAGCCAAACUCGGGGACCCCACGUUCCUACAACUGCUGGAAUUAUUCUAUUUGGUCAUGCAAGAGGUGGAUGUUCUCACUGUCAAUAUACUCAAAAGGGACAUUGUCGUGGCGGACAUCGAACAGGCAGUUGAUAGUUUUGAGAAGUACGUUCAGGCCCAACAGGGGAGAGCUGAGGCCACAGCACACGGAGGCCCCGCGUCGGACAACGACAAGAGAGACACAAAGAGAACUGCAGCGGUCAUGAGGAAGGCAUGUGACAUCAUCGUCACACAUGUGCAUCACAGGUUUUCUCAAAGUAGUGACCAUUUAAUCGCAGCCAAACUGGUGAAUCCCACACUCUUCUCUAAGUUCGUAGGCUGUUUCCCGUGCUCAGCCCUACAGUGUGCUGCCAAGCUAUGGCCGGUGGUUAACACUGGGAAGCUGAAAGAUGAAUUGACCUCUCUGUACCAACACACGGAGCUCCACAGGGGUACAACAGCGCUGUCUUUACUGAAAACAAUCAGCGAACUCAACCUCCAGGAUGUUUUGUCAGAGACGGUCUCUCUUCUCAAAAUCAUCAUCACCACUCCCAUGCAGACCGCCGAGUCUGAUAGAAGGUUCCCCACUCUGAAAAGAAUCCAGGCGUUGCCGUGUUCUCGGAACACCUCGGGAUCCGCGGUCGCUUGGCAACAGAACAAUGGCAUGCUAAAUGCACUGUCCAUGCUCUCUGUCGAGAAGGACUUCAUUCAAGGACUCAGGUCAGACUUUCACGACAAGGUCGUCGAUAAGUUUGUCCAAAAUAAAACCUGCCCUGGAGCCUUCCUGUUUAAAUGAGCAGUACAGCAUCUGAGAAAAAUCUGAGAAGGCUUGGGUUGUGUCUGUAUAUAGUAUAUACUGGGGGCUGAGUCUAUAUAUAUAUAUAUAUAUAUAUAUAUAUAUAUAUAUAUAUAUAUAUAUAUAUAUACUGGGGCUGAGUGUCCCAAAUGGCGCACAAUUCCCUCUGUAGUGCACUACAUUUGACUAUGGGCUAUUCUAUUGAAUACAAAAUAAGUCCAUAGACUUCAGUAGAAUUCAGUUGUAAAUAUUUUCUUUAUACAUAAUUCAAAUCAGUAGAAGGGCUGGUUUGUAUUGACAUUCUAGGUCUUCACAGGUCCAGAUAUCAGCCAAGUUGCUCUUCUGGUUAAUUAAUAGGUCUUUAUGUUGGCUAGGCCUUCUAUAAGUCAAUCAUUUCACCUGAUUAGCAUAAAAUAAAUAUGCUAUAGACUAUGCAGAGCCCUGGUCGGGUCCAUUCGGGUCUAUCAGCUGUGGUUACGUAGACCCAAGAUCCGAUGACAAUCAAGCAGGACCCACCCUGAACCGAGGGACAGGUUAGAAUUUCAGACCAGAACGGCCCGGGUCUCGGGUAUGUUCGGGUAUAUUGGGUCCACCCGGACCUUGAAGACCUCUAAUUGACAUCCAAAGUUAACAAUAUGUGUGUGUUGUAAUGCCAUGAUCCGCUUGUAAACUGUGUAAAAUGUUGUCAACUAUCCUUCAACUGAAUUAUAAAUACAAACAGUUCCAACUGUCUGUGUGGCUCCUCUUCUUCAUUCAAAGUGUAUUAUGUUGGUAGAUUGUCUUUAUCGGAUGACAAGUCAGUAUAGUAGCAUUAUGAUAAUAAAGGAUAACAGAUGUUAUACACUGUUGAAAUAAUAUAACAUCACACUGCUGAU
ensembl:lncRNA uncharacterized LOC115178443